rnacentral:rRNA from 1 species
UACGUAGGGUGCGAGCGUUGUCCGGAAUUACUGGGCGUAAAGAGCUCGUAGGUGGUUUGUCGCGUUGUCCGUGAAAACUCACAACUCAAUUGUGGGCGUGCGGGCGAUACGGGCAGACUGGAGUACUGCAGGGGAGACUGGAAUUCCUGGUGUAGCGGUGAAAUGCGCAGAUAUCAGGAGGAACACCGGUGGCGAAGGCGGGUCUCUGGGCCGAUACUGACGCUGAGGAGCGAAAGCAUGGGUAGCGAACAGG